CGUAGGGUGCAGGCGUUAAUCGGAAUUACUGGGCGUAAAGCGUGCGCAGGCGGUUUCUUAAGUCAGAUGUGAAAGCCCCGGGCUUAACCUGGGAACUGCGUUUGAAACUGGGAGACUUGAGUGUGGCAGAGGGGGGUGGAAUUCCACGUGUAGCAGUGAAAUGCGUAGAUAUGUGGAGGAACACCGAUGGCGAAGGCAGCCCCCUGGGUUAACACUGACGCUCAUGCACGAAAGCGUGGGGAGCAAACAGGAUUAGAUACCCUGGUAGUCCACGCCCUAAACUAUGUCAACUGGUUGUCGGGGGAUUAACUCCCUUGGUAACGAAGCUAACGCGUGAAGUUGACCGCCUGGGGAGUACGGUCGCAAGAUUA
rnacentral:rRNA from 1 species